GACAGAGGGGGCAAGCGUUGUUCGGAAUUACUGGGCGUAAAGGGCUUGUAGGUGGCCUACUAAGUCAGACGUGAAAUCCCGCGGCUUAACCGGGGAACUGCGUCUGAUACUGGAUGGCUUGAGUGUGGGAGAGGGAUGCGGAAUUCCAGGUGUAGCGGUGAAAUGCGUAGAUAUCUGGAGGAACACCGGUGGCGAAGGCGGCUCACUGGACCACAACUGACGCUGAGGCGCGAAAGCUAGGGGAGCAAACAGG
rnacentral:rRNA from 1 species